rnacentral:rRNA from 1 species
UACGGAGGGAGCUAGCGUUGUUCGGAAUUACUGGGCGUAAAGCGCACGUAGGCGGCUAUUCAAGUCGGGGGUGAAAGCCCUGGGCUCAACCCCGGAACUGCCCUCGAAACUAGGUAGCUAGAAUCUUGGAGAGGUCAGUGGAAUUCCGAGUGUAGAGGUGAAAUUCGUAGAUAUUCGGAAGAACACCAGUGGCGAAGGCGACUGACUGGACAAGUAUUGACGCUGAGGUGCGAAAGCGUGGGGAGCAAACAGG